AGAAAAGACUUAGAGUUUGCACCUCUUUAUAGCGAAUGCCUUUUCUA
rnacentral:tRNA from 1 species